rnacentral:rRNA from 1 species
AACCCUUGACAUCCCGGUCGCGAUUUCCAGAGAUGGAUUUCUUCAGUUAGGCUGGAUCGGUGAC